AGGAGCACCUGGGAACUUGUUAGAAACACAGUUUCCAGGCUAAAUGUUCACUAUGUUAAGACCGUGCGUGUGUCGCCGGUUCUCGUGCCCUCCCUAGGCCGGGUUUUAUAAACGCUGGUGAUACAC
ensembl:snoRNA SNORA72 Small nucleolar RNA SNORA72